rnacentral:sRNA from 1 species
UCUAAAGGAUCUUCGACUAAGUACAGACACCUCUUGUGUCGAACGUCGAAGUCAGCACACCACGCACA